GACGAACCGUGCAAACGUUGUUCGGAAUCACUGGGCUUAAAGGGCGCGUAGGCGGACAACCAAGUCAGGGGUGAAAUCUUUCGGCCCAACCGGAAAAGGGCCCCUGAUACUGGCUGUCUCGAGGGAGGUAGGGGUCGGGGGAACUUCCGGUGGAGCGGUGAAAUGCGUAGAUAUCGGAAGGAACGCCGGUGGCGAAAGCGCCCGACUGGACCUCUUCUGACGCUGAGGCGCGAAAGCCAGGGGAGCAAACGGG
rnacentral:rRNA from 1 species